rnacentral:rRNA from 1 species
UGGGGAAUAUUGGACAAUGGGCGCAAGCCUGAUCCAGCAAUGCCGCGUGAGUGAUGAAGGCCUUAGGGUUGUAAAGCUCUUUCGCACGCGACGAUGAUGACGGUAGCGUGAGAAGAAGCCCCGGCUAACUUCGUGCCAGCAGCCGCGGUAAUACGAAGGGGGCUAGCGUUGUUCGGAAUUACUGGGCGUAAAGGGCGCGUAGGCGGCCUGUUUAGUCAGAAGUGAAAGCCCCGGGCUCAACCUGGGAAUAGCUUUUGAUACUGGCAGGCUUGAGUUCCGGAGAGGAUGGUGGAAUUCCCAGUGUAGAGGUGAAAUUCGUAGAUAUUGGGAAGAACACCGGUGGCGAAGGCGGCCAUCUGGACGGACACUGACGCUGAGGCGCGAAAGCGUGGGGAGCAAACAGGGUUAGAUACCCUGGUAGUCCACGCGUAAACGNUGAAUGCUAGACGUCGGGGUGCAUGCACUUCGGUGUCGCCGCUAACGCAUUAAGCAUUCCGCCUGGGGAGUACGGCCGCAAGGUUAAAACUCAAAUGAAUUGACGGGGUCAUAGCUGUUUCCU